rnacentral:rRNA from 1 species
UACGUAGGGUGCGAGCGUUGUCCGGAAUUAUUGGGCGUAAAGAGCUCGUAGGCGGUUUGUCGCGUUGGUUGUGAAAACUCACAGCUCAACUGUGGGCGUGCGGGCGAUACGGGCAGACUGGAGUACUGUAGGGGAGACUGGAAUUCCUGGUGUAGCGGUGGAAUGCGCAGAUAUCAGGAGGAACACCGGUGGCGAAGGCGGGUCUCUGGGCAGUAACUGACGCUGAGGAGCGAAAGCGUGGGGAGCGAACAGG